GAUGAAGAACGCAGCGAAAUGCGAUAAGUAAUGCGAAUUGCAGAAUUUCCGUGAGUCAUCGAAUCUUUGAACGCACAUUGCGCCCCUUGGUAUUCCAUGGGGCAUGCCUGUUCGAGCGUCAUUUACACCCUCAAGCUCCGCUUGGUGUUGGGCGUCUGUCCCGCUUCGUGCGCGGACUCGCCCCAAAGGCAUUGGCAGCGGUCCUUGCCAGCUUCUCGCGCAGCACAUUGCGCUUCUCGAGGCUGGCGGAUCGGCGUCCAUCAAGCCCACUUCCACAGUUUGACCUCGGAUCAGGUAGGGAUACCCGCUGAACUUAAGCAUAUCAAUAAGCGGAGGA
rnacentral:misc_RNA from 1 species